rnacentral:rRNA from 1 species
CAGGAUGAACGCUAGCUACAGGCUUAACACAUGCAAGUCGAGGGGCAGCAUUAUCGAAGCUUGCUUUGAUAGAUGGCGACCGGCGCACGGGUGAGUAACGCGUAUCCAACCUUCCCCAUAGUCAGGAAUAGCCCGGCGAAAGUCGAAUUAAUGCCUGAUGUUUUCCACGGACGGCAUCCGAUGUGGAACAAAGAUUGAUCGCUAUGGGAUGGGGAUGCGUCUGAUUAGCUUGUUGGCGGGGUAACGGCCCACCAAGGCAACGAUCAGUAGGGGUUCUGAGAGGAAGGUCCCCCACAUUGGAACUGAGACACGGUCCAAACUCCUACGGGAGGCAGCAGUGAGGAAUAUUGGUCAAUGGGCGGAAGCCUGAACCAGCCAAGUAGCGUGAGGGAUGACUGCCCUAUGGGUUGUAAACCUCUUUUAUAAGGGAAUAAAAUACGGGACGUGUCCUGUUUUGCAUGUACCUUAUGAAUAAGGACCGGCUAAUUCCGUG